UGUGUGUGUGUGUGUGUGAAUGUUAUUAUGUGCAGUUCUACACACAAGCUAGAGUACAGUAACUACACUAUAAUCAUCUUUUUCUCUCUCUUUGGGCGAUAAAGUGCUUCCUUUCUAUAAAAGAGACAAGGCAAGCCUUGUUGUGUUGCUGUAGUUGUUUAGUUUUGUUUGAAGGCCUGGGGUGAGAAUUAUUGAAGCGGGCACCUGCUCCACCAUGGAAGGAAAGCUGCCAACAUGAUGGGAUAUCAAAUCAGGUCUUUUCCUUCUCCUUCAUUUAUAUCAUUCUUCUCCUCAUUCUCAUUUGACAGAUGGUGAACUUUGUGCAAUUAGCCCUUCUGGAUAAAGUUCCUUCUACCAGCACUC
rnacentral:lncRNA from 1 species